UACGUAGGGCGCAAGCGUUAUCCGGAAUUAUUGGGCGUAAAGAGCUCGUAGGCGGUUUGUCGCGUCUGCCGUGAAAGUCCGGGGGCUCAACUCCGGAUCUGCGGUGGGUACGGGCAGACUAGAGUGAUGUAGGGGGAGACUGGAAUUCCUGGUGUAGCGGUGAAAUGCGCAGAUAUCAGGAGGAACACCGAUGGGCGAAGGGCAGGUCUCUGGGCAUUAACUGACGCUGAGGAGCGAAAAGCAUGGGGGAGCGAACAGG
rnacentral:rRNA from 1 species